UGACUUUAACACUUCAUGACCGAGAGCUGCUGCUACAGCAACUUCACCCACAGCUACCAUGACUUUGAUCCCCGUCUUCAUCUGGACACUGAUCCUCUGGACUCAAGAAUGCAGAGGUCAAGCCACAGUAACUCAGACUCCUGCAGUGAAAUCUGCUCUUCCAGGAGAAACAGUCACCAUCAACUGUAGAACCAAUCCUCAGGUGUACCAAGGUUGGGGUUAUCAACCUUUAGCUUGGUAUCAGCAGAAACCUGGAGAAGCUCCUAAACUGCUGAUCAUAAAAGCAAAUCAGCUACAGUCGGGUAUUCCAGCUCGUUUCAGUGGCAGUGGAUCUGGAUCUGAUUUCACUCUGACCAUCAGUGGAGUCCAGACUGAAGAUGCAGGAGAUUAUUACUGUCAGAGUUGGCAUGACAUUACUGGCUAUUGGUUCACACAGUGUGAUAGAGUCGUACAAAAACCUCCCUCAGUCAGAUUGUAGAGAGACUGCACUGCUGCAGCUGGGAGCGACUGCAGGUGCUGAGUUGGAGGAUGUGAUACGACACAGUGACACUCUGUGGAGGAGAGGAACCACACCACACUAACUCACAACUCACAUUAGAAAUCUCUCAAUAAUCAUCACACCACACUGCACACAGUCCAUCACGUCCACUACUGUAAGAUAAAUAGUUUCCUGAUUUUCU